UACAGAGGUCUCAAGCGUUGUUCGGAUUCAUUGGGCGUAAAGGGUGCGUAGGCGGCGCCGUAAGUCAGGUGUGAAAUCUCGGGGCUCAACCCCGAAACUGCACUUGAUACUGCCAGGCUAGAGUACUGGAGAGGUUGGUGGAAUUCUCGGUGUAGAGGUGAAAUUCGUAGAUAUCGAGAGGAACACCGGUGGCGAAGGCGGCAUCCUGGACCAACACUGACACUGAGGAGCGAAAGCCAGGGGAGCAAACGGG
rnacentral:rRNA from 1 species